ACCAAAGUGUAAAGGUUUUUGGAUUGUGAGCCCGAAAAAUAAUCCAACUGUAAUCCGCGGAAUUAUAGUGAAUUCCCAAGGGGUCGCUUGGGGAGUGGACGUAGGUGCUAAGGAGAGCACCGAACCACUAUACUUCUUGUUGUUUGCAUUGUGAUUUGUUUAAGUUCACUAACUCAUCAUUUAACACAAGUAAGAUAGUUAAAAUUAAAAGAAACCAAUUCACCCCCCCCUCUUGGCUUGUCACCUUGGGCAACAAGUGGUAUCAGAGCAAGGUGCUCCAUUAGUAAUUAUUGAUCUCACAAUCAAGAGUUAAAGAUCAUGACAACCCAAGUGGGAUGUUCUAUGAGUGAGGGACAAUUAAUUGAUAGACCUCCACUAUUUAAUGGUAUAAACUAC
rnacentral:lncRNA from 1 species